rnacentral:tRNA from 1 species
CAGAGAAUAGUUUAAUAAAAAUAUUAAUUUUGGAGAUUAGUGAUAGAAGUAUAUUUUUUCUCUGA